UACGUAGGGUGCGAGCGUUGUCCGGAAUUAUUGGGCGUAAAGAGCUCGUAGGCGGUCUGUCGCGUCGGUCGUGAAAACUUGGGGCUUAACCCUGAGCUUGCGGUCGAUACGGGCAUGACUGGAGUUCGGCAGGGGAGACUGGAAUUCCUGGUGUAGCGGUGAAAUGCGCAGAUAUCAGGAAGAACACCCGUGGCGAAGGCGGCUUUCUGGGACGGUACUGACGCUGAGACGCGAAAGCGUGGGGAGCGAACAGG
rnacentral:rRNA from 1 species